rnacentral:rRNA from 1 species
UGGGGAAUAUUGCACAAUGGGCGCAAGCCUGAUGCAGCCAUGCCGCGUGUAUGAAGAAGGCCUUCGGGUUGUAAAGUACUUUCAGCGAGGAGGAAGGCGUUGUGGUUAAUAACCGCAGCGAUUGACGUUACUCGCAGAAGAAGCACCGGCUAACUCAGUGCCAGCAGCCGCGGUAAUACGGAGGGUGCAAGCGUUAAUCGGAAUUACUGGGCGUAAAGCGCACGCAGGCGGUCUGUCAAGUCGGAUGUGAAAUCCCCGGGCUCAACCUGGGAACUGCAUCCGAAACUGGCAGGCUAGAGUCUUGUAGAGGGGGGUAGAAUUCCAGGUGUAGCGGUGAAAUGCGUAGAGAUCUGGAGGAAUACCGGUGGCGAAGGCGGCCCCCUGGACAAAGACUGACGCUCAGGUGCGAAAGCGUGGGGAGCAAACA